rnacentral:rRNA from 1 species
UACGGGGGGAGCAAGCGUUGUUCGGAUUUACUGGGCGUAAAGGGCGCGUAGGCGGUCAGCACAAGUCAGUUGUGAAAUCUCCGGGCUUAACUCGGAACGGCCAAGUGAUACUGUCAAGCUAGAGUGCAGAAAGGGCAAUCGGAAUUCUUGGUGUAGCGGUGAAAUGCGUAGAUAUCAAGAGGAACACCUGAGGCGAAGGCGGGUUGCUAGGCUGACACUGACGCUGAAGCGCGAAAGCCAGGGGAGCAAACGGG